ACGUCCUAUGAGAGCGCUGAGGAGACCCAGGACGACCUGGAGAACCAGUGCUGACCUCCCAGCUGAAUCAGAGCCAGAGUUUUGAUGGGGCAGGUAGAGCCAUUGAGGGGUUCAGGUUGGGACUGGACUCAGGUUCAUCCAGAAGUGUGAGUAGCAUGGAACUGAAUGACGGAGCCAGCCUCUGGGGCAGGACUUGGGGGCCACAAGCCCCAGGGAUGGAGAACCCCCAGGCAGAGGUCCUGCAGUAUCGCCGGGCCUUUCAGUCAUUCUGCAGACUGGACCAAGGAUAUGGAAGGCCUCAGAUUGAGGCAUGAGGCCGCCACUGACCUCCAGGAGCGUGGGGGUUCAGAGAGAGGCUAUCCAGGGGCAAGUCUGACCCCAUGCACCAGACAAUGCCUCUCAGGUGUCCAGACCACUACCACGGGACACUAUCAAGAUGUCUUCCCUGGUCUCCCCCUGUUGGAGCGUCUAUGUCUGCAGGAGGGGGAGGGAGCGAACGGUGAGGCGGAGAGAUUGUGUUGUCGUAUGAUGGGCCUGGGGCUGCUGCAGCCCCUUAGUGGCUUUUUCAGAGAGCAGCAUGAAGACAUUGUCAGUCCACAGCCACCUUUAAUUGUUGGUGAAUGUCAUCUGAACUGGAAUCAACAGACAUAGGAUUGAUUCCUUGAAGAUAAGUAAAUGUGAUUUCCUGUUUGUCUGUCAGCUAUUGACUGUAUAUUAAAUAGAUAUCUGCCAUUUUGUAUGUCCGCUGUCCUCUUUUGCACAAUUUUCUAUAUUUGUGUGUAUAAGUAAACCAAAUCAAUUUAAAUAAUGUUGGUAAAACGUUCCGGUUAUGAUCACCUGUAGUAUCCACCUGGUUAUUAUACGGUGUUACUACAGUAUAUGGUACUGUGUUAGUGUGAAUAAAAUAUAGAUCUAAAAGUAGAUACUGAAAAAUGCAUGUUCAUUGCCUUCUCUCCCCAGGAGGACCAGCUAUAUACCUGGGCUAUUUUCGGCCUGCCCUCCCACCUCUGGGUGCCCCCAUGAAGGGCAUACCCCAGGCCGCAUCAAGGCCUUGAGGCCCCCUCCACAGCCAGCUCAGAAUUCAUCAAAGUCAGGAAAUCUGUCACAAGAAGAUAAUGGCAGUGAUAUUCCUGGGCUGGAGCGGAUCAUCAAUGACUUGAGGAUAAAGAUCGCAGCACUGGAAAUCCAGCAUGCAUCUCUGGAGAUUGGAGGUCCACUCUAAGGAGAGUGGGGCUAGGGACAAUACUGUGGCCUUAGGGGGUGUCAACCACACAUGAAAGAAGGGGAUGGAGGUUUCCGUAUAGACAUCACCUGUGAAGCAGCAGCAGAGUGGUACCCAGCCACCACCUCCCCCCACCCCAGAUAUACCCCCUCCUCUUCUUCCUCCUCCCCCUCAUCCUCUACCUCAGCCUUCUGGAGGGCAACCACCACCCCCUCUCUC